AGAGCCGAGGCUCGGGCGGCGGGGAUGGCGGAGGCGGAGGCGGAGGUCGGGGCGCGCGCCCAGGCGCUCGAGGCCCUGGCCGCGCUGGGGGACAUCCUGGAGCCCGUGGGCCGGCAAGAGGAGGUAGAGCUGCCAGCCCAGAUCCUGGCGGAGUUCGUGAUGGACUCCCGGAAGAAGGACAAGCUGCUCUGCAGUCAGCUUCAGGUAGUAGACUUCCUGCAGAACUUCCUGGCUCAGGAGGGCAUCGUCCAGGGACUAGACCCCUUGGCUUCUGAAGACACGAGCCGGCAGAAGGCACUUGCAGUCAAGGAGCAAUGGAAAGAGCUGAAGGCCACUUACCAGGAGCACGUGGAAGCCAUCACAGGUGCCCUGACCCAGGCCCUGGCCAAGACGGAGGAGGCGCAGAGCAAGCGGGUGCAGCUCCAGGAAGCCCUGGAACAGCUCCAGGCCAAGAAGCAAGUGGCCAUGGAGAGAGCGAGAACAGCCCAGAAGCAGUGGCAGCUGCAACAGGAGAAGCGUCUGCAGCAUCUGGCAGAGGCUUCAGCAGAGGUGAGACAGCGGCAGAGAGGAGCUCAGCAGGAGCUUGAGCGGCUGCGUCAGGAACUUGGAGCCUUACAACAGCAGGCCGGGCAGAAGCGGGACAGGCUUCAGAGGCACCAGACCUUCCUCCGGCUGCUGCACAUACUGCAGGGUGAGCCACUGCUCCCCGGGGCAGAGACGGAGCGGCCUCAAGAGCUGGGUAUUCCUGAGGCUAAGCCCCGGGAGCAGAACACUGGGGAUGCUGUGGGGAAAGACAGGAGUGUGCCAUCCCAGGUACGGUGGAGGGAGGACCUGGUGUCUCCUGUCUCUGCAUCAGAGCUCUGUUUCCACCAAGGGGAUUGCAGAUUCCAGAUUAACCUCAGCCAGCAUCCACACAUCUGACCAUCCAGGUUGCUUGCUUGCAAAAUAAUGAAGAUACGUGACCUUAAAGUAUAAGAACACUGGGGGUCUUGCCCCUUCAGACCAUGAUUUCUCCAGUUGCCCGCUGAAGGUCAUCCCCAUGGAUGGAAGUCCCACAAGGUGCCCCAGCUCGAGAGAAGUGCAGCCACAUUUCUGUGUUGGGAAGGAGCCUGCUGAACUUCCAGACAGAGGAGCUGUAACUGCAGUGCCUUUUGGAUUGAAUUCCAUCUUUAAUGCCAGGACAUGUAAUUAUUCACAACCUUGUCAUGUCGUGUUGAAGAGGACUUGGUGCAAGUUGAAGAGCCUCGGAUGCUGAGCUACUUACUACGUGGGGUGGGGGGCGUUUCCCGGGAGGACUUGGGCUGACGGAAAAUGUUAUGAGAAGAGCAGUGAACCUUGUGUUGUUUGCAGCCGAGGAGCUUUGGUGAUUCUGUUUCCACUGGGAUCCAGGGUGUCCUACCUAAUGACAAGGCAUGGGCCUGCGGGAAUAAAUGGCUGAGGUCAGAUGAAGGACACGACGUAGAAGCAUUAUCUGUGUGAAGAUUUCAAUCACCAAGAAUCCUGAGGGAAUCAGAGAUAGAGGAGAUGAGGAUUUCAAGGUCCAUAGCAGAUGGAAACGUUAAAAAUGGGUCAUUCUCUUGGAUUUCAAACCUCAAAAGCAACCUUCAAGAUACCGUCCCAAACCUCCUAAGAGCUAGAAACCACAAUGCACAGAAGUGUGACAAGCACAGAAGUGCCUGUAGGGGUAACAGAAUGUAGGAAGUAUCUCCUAAACAACGUGAAGCUGGUGCUUGCAACAGAGAACCCUUGGAAUGGUCUAGUGCAAUAAUAAGCAGGAUUGAAUUGAUACUUGGCUUGAAUCUCUCUUUCAAAGUACCAAUUAUGCAGAUUGAAAACACUUGGCAUAAUGGAGGGCUCUAUGUAAAUAGUGUUUUUUCUUCUCUCAUCUUGACCCUUCAAGUAUCUGGUAAGGAACCACAGGUAUUCAACUACUUGGUACUAGUUUACCCUCCAGAGACUCAGGAUCCAGGGGCAGAGAGACAUAAGAAAGCUGAAGAUUUGUGCCCAAUAGCAGAGGAGCAACUGGGACAGUGUGGAGGACACAAGGACAGGGAGCAAACGAAUCAAAAACACAGAGUCGUGGACCAUGUAAUGCCUUCCCCAAACCCAGGCACUGAAGUACAGCUGCAGAAAGCAGUGAGUUUGCAAGGAUGACGUGAGAUGAGACUAAAGAGAAUGGAAGAUGGACGUGAGGUCCUGUGUGAUAGGCAAGUUGAGUCUAUGGUUGCCAUGCAGACGACUGGCCAUGCAUCCCCCAAAGGGCCAUCACGGCAUCAGUGUGAUCAUAAUAACAAGGCGCUGGACAAAGAGAGUGCAGCUACGAGGUGGUGGGAGGAGGUUAGGAAAGAGACAAUGAGGGCCUGGCUGGAGCUGGGUGGAGAGCUUGGGCGGGGAUGGAGACGUAGGUUGAAUGAGUCACGUAGCUGGCCUGGGACACGGCAUCACUCUGAUUUACAAAGAGAGGGGGUGUAAAUGUGGGAAAGCAAAGAAAAAGGGGGAGAUGAUACUGUCUGCUGAGACCUUGUAAAUGUAGGGGGAGACCUUUAGUAAGUAGUUGAAUGUACGAGUCUGACACGAGGCUGUUCUACAAAGACGCCCCAAAGGCUAGGAAGGCUGAAGUGGAGUCUGAUUCCCAGGCCGUGCCACCCAUCCCUCCCUGCAGGAAGCCCGUCUGCUCUGAUUUCUAUUCCUAUUUCCAGAGCUGGAGAUUUUUUAUGUUCUCAUAAAGUUGACUUAGAAGUCUGGGUGGAUUGGCUUAGACAAGCGGCUUUGGAAGAGGCAAAUUCGUGGUUAUUAUUUUUCAGGGCAUAGAUGUUGGCAUGGUCUUUGGUUCAAAUCCUUUGUUGAAAUGCUUUAGUCAUUAAUUAUAUGACCGCAUGAUAUAUUAUUAAAUGAAAUUGGGCACUUUCAAAAAUGUGUAUUCAAUGUUUCCAAUGUUGUGUAACAAAUACAAUAGGAUAAAUAUGUCAGGAAAAUGGGUCAUUUAAAAUUACCGGGCAGCCCCGGUGGCUCAGCAGUUGAGCGGCGCCUUCAGUCCAGGGUGUGAUCUUGGGAGACCCGGGAUCGAGUCCCACUUCGGGCUCCCUGAGUGGAGCCUGCUUCUCCCUCUGCCUGUGUCUCUGCCUCUCUCUCUCUCUGUGUCUCUCAUGAAUAAAUAAAUAAAAUCUCUUUAAAAAAAAAAGGCAGGACAAAUUAUUUAAAAUCUAACAGUUUGCUGCUCACUUAUAUAAACUAGGAACAUUUCUAAAAUAGGAAUAACUGAUUCUUAACUUACUGUUAUGCAGUGAGGAAUAAACAUAAAAUAUAUAUACUGUUCUUCCCAGAGAUCUUGGCACAUAAAAGAAUCUCCCAAAUAUGAUAAAUAACGUUGCCUGCCUGGAAUUCCUCCUCUUCUUCACCAUCCUUAUCAUCUUUCAUGCCUGGUUCUUACCCGUUCUAUCAGUGAGGUGGGCUGGUGGUACAAGCAGGUACACUGUGUCACUGAGAACUUUUUGGUAUCUUCCAGCAAACAGUUUCAUCUUUCCUAGAAUCUUGUCCUACCCUCAGAAUAGAUCUUCAUUAUCGUAUCACAAUAUCCCCUAUUUGUUCUUCCCUUCUCUAAGAAACUAGGAAUAAUACAUCAACGUCUAAGAGAAGUUUUGAAGAUUCCACUCUAAUGUUUCUAAUUAUCUGCAGCACACAGAGAUUUUAGACUAUCACGAUGUUCUUAGUUGAUAUAUUUCAAAGGUGCCCUGUCAGUUAUUUACACAUUCCAUUAUUGUCCAAAUAAUUUGUAGAACAGGCCAAAUUCAUCUUAAUAUGUAUGCCUACCCUACCUCAUAACAUUUUUUUCAUUUCUAAUAAUAUAUAAUUUGCUGUUGUAAAAUCGCUAAUGACAAACACGUUAAUUAGAGUUUAUGAAAACUCACGUCCCUACAACAUAUAUGUUCAAAUUUAAGUUCAAAAGUAUGGGAAUGUCAUGCAACUUAUAUUACUAAAAAUACAGUUAUCACACUUGGCUCAAAUUUAAGUGAGCAAAGAAGAAAUCACUCUUAUAGAGGUGGUUAUAAAAUCAAUAAGGGCAGAAAAUGUAUGAUGUUGUUCAGCAUUGAAUUUGUAGAGACAAAUACAAUUCCUCGUAAUUUUUUGAGAGAAUCUAUGGAUGGAUGAAUGAAUGGAUAGAUGAACAAAAAAUGUGUGAGGAUCUUGGAAUUGCAAGAGUGAGGUUUUUAAAACAAGUAUUUUAGUCUGAGGUUUUGAUUUUCUGUGUGUGCCCAUAGGAUUUUUUGGCUAAUCGGGUACAAGAUACACAUUAUGUAACAAUUAAUUGAGACUCACUCAGUAUGGGUCAUUGACUUGAUUUUCUCUUUCUGCCUAACAAGGUAUCACAACUUAUCACAAUAGUUGAAAACAGCCCCUAUGUAUUGCUUGUAUUGCUCAUGGUCCUGUAGGUCAGCGGGCCAGCAUAGUGUGGCUUGGUCUCUGUUCGGGGUGUCACAGCCCUCAUCAGGGUGUUGGCUAGGCUGGGCUCCUUCUGUUAGUCUAAUGUAUGUCAUUGGCAGAACUCAGCUCCUUGAAGUUCCAGGACUGCAGUCCUGCUUUGUUGGUCGGCUGUGUGCUGCGUGCCUCUUUCCACUGCCUGCAGGUCCCUGUGCUGUGGGUCCUUCACGCAGCACAAAACACAAGACAUCAGAUCCCCCUCCAGGGAAGAAUCAUGAACUUCUACACUACAUAGCCAGCAGCGCUCUGCUAUGAAAGCAGUCAUGUGAUUAGGUGAGCAGUAUCCAGAUCCUCUAAGAUUAACAGAUAAAUGACCUUAGCAACAUCUGGAAAAUGCUUUCCAUCCUGUGAUAUGAUAUAACCAAGGAAUAAUACCAAGGGGUGGAGCCGCUCUAGAAUUCCGACUACCAGAUCCAGGUUGUCAAUAUGCCAAACACCGUUGCGCAGAUAGUUAAUUUAGAUUUAAAGAUAACUAAAAUUAACCAACCGAUGUUUUUUUCAAGAAUAGGUUUGAUUGUGUAAGUAUGCUGCCGUAGUAAUUAUAACAGGCUGUUUCAAUAUUUGGUAUGGAUCCACAUUUAGGUUUAGCUUAUACUGACCUCAGCACAAAAUUGCUUUUUUUUUUAAUAUUAUGGAGGCUUUUAUGAGUUUAUUCUUGAUGGCUGCUGUCUUGUCAGAGGAAAAUAGCUGUUUUUAUUUUAUUUUUUUUUAUUUUUUGCCAGUAAAAUUAUGGGCCUUAUAUUCAACUGUGAGAACAAGCUCUAACCUAAUGCAUUUGAUAACUAAAAAGUGAUAUAUACAUUUCCAUUUGCAUAACUCAACCUCCUAGAUUCACAGUUCUAAAUACGGGUGUUACGUACUGAUGAUCUCAAGUGUAAACCAUGGCUUAAUCUGUUUUGUAUUUUCAUAUGGAAUAUGCAGGAUAUUCAUUCCUUGAGGUGCCCUGCCCUUUAGGGAUCCCUUAGGAGCUUAGAGUGUAGGUUACGUCAACGGGUGCUGUAAUGGUAUCCGGUUACUCUCCAGCAGCUUCGGAUCUCAGAAGCAAACCCAACGUCCAUACAUUUUCCGACUCUGUAGCUAUACAUCAUGCAAUUAGUUUACUUUCAGGUUAGCCUUAGUUUAGUUUUCAGAUAUUUUAAAUCAGAGCUCUGCAGGGAUGCCAUGUCACAUGGUUAAUAUGUGUUCAUGGUAAUGUCAUGUUUUAGUUGGGAUCGCAUGAGAGUUUUUACAGUGGCCUCCUCUCUCUUCAGUCAAGAAAAUGGUCGAAUUAGAACUUGAGUUUGCUCCAAAUUAUAAAGUGGAAGACGGGGUUUAGAAAGUCAUGUGUUUAAAACACAGUCAUUGUUUACAAAGCUGGCCAGCCUUUUACAAAUAAACAACCAUUGAUCAGUCAACAAUAACAAUUGCAAAAUGAGUACGGUUGCCUGAAAUGGACAUAGUUCCUCUUCUUUGAUCCAAACAAUUCCAAUUCUAUCUUCCUUUUACUUUUUUUUACCCUAUUUUACUCACACACGUAUGCAUGUGAACACACACAUUACAUUGCAUAUAACGCUUAAUUUUAGAAAAGAAUCAGAGAUCUUGAAGAAUAGCCAGUGAUGCAUGUUGUAUUGGGUAUGGGACUUUGUUUUGUUUGUUUAUUUGAGCAAAUAUUGGCUAUAGAAUUGCUAUAAACCAUUGCCGUCAAUUCCUAGGAUUAGGUUGUGGGCUCUGAAUUAAAGUAGGCAGAGGAAUUAACUCAAAUUGUGUAACCUGGAAUGUAUGAAAAAAAUGCAUUAUGUUGUAAGCCAUCUAUUUAGAGAGAGAACAUAAUAGAAAUAAACAUUAAUUCAUUAAAUUUGA